rfam:Acinetobacter johnsonii SH046 genomic scaffold supercont1.2, whole genome shotgun sequence.
CGCUUUUUUCGCCCAGGCGGAGCUCGACCGCCCACACAAAUAAUGGUGGAUUUUAUCCAUAAUAAUAAAGAGCUGUACGGAGUCGAGGCGAUUUGUAGAAUUUUACCUAUCGCACCU